UCAAGCUACUAAGGGCAUACGGUGGAUGCCUUGGCACUAAGAGCCGAUGAAGGACGCGGUAAGCUGCGAAAAGCCACGGGGAACUGCAAGCAAGUCUUGAUCCGUGGAUGUCCGAAUGGGGAAACCCACCAUCCGUCAUGGGAUGGUAUCCUACGGGAGGGGAACCCGGUGAACUGAAACAUCUAAGUAGCCGGAGGAAGAGAAAUCAAACGAGAUGCCCACAGUAGCGGCGAGCGAAGAGGGCAGAGCCUAAACCAGUCAUCUUCGGAUGGUUGGGGUUACGGACCUGCAUCAACCGAGUCCUACCUAGUCGAAUUACCUGGAAAGGUAAGCCAGAGAGCGUAAGAGCCGCGUAGGUGAAAGGAAGGACGAGGGGGCAGGGAUCCAGAGUACCACGAAGCACGAGGAAUUUUGUGGGAAGUCGGGGGGACCACCCUCCAAGGCUAAACACUUCUUAGUGACCGAUAGCGCAUAGUACCGUGAGGGAAAGGUGAAAAGAACCGCGGGAGCGGAGUGAAAGAGAACCUGAAACCGUAUGUCUACAAGCAGUCGGAGCGCAAGCGACGGCGUGCCUAUUGAAGAAUGAGCCAACGAGUUACGGGCACCAGCGAGGUUAAGCAGGAAAUGCGGAGCCGGAGCGAAAGCGAGUCUAAACAGGGCGAAUAGUUGGUGUUCGUAGACCCGAAACUGUAGUGAUCUACCCAUGAUCAGGUUGAAGCGCAGGUAAAAAUGCGUGGAGGACCGAACCGGUGAGCGUUGAAAAGCUUUCGGAUGAAUCGUGGGUAGCGGUGAAAUUCCAAUCGAACGCAGAGAUAGCUGGUUCUCCUCGAAAUAGCUUUAGGGCUAGCCUCAAGCAGUAAGCAUAGGCGGUAGAGCACUGAUCGGGAUAGGGUCCGUAAAGGAUACCGAACCCUGUCAAACUACGAAUGGUUAUGCUGCAGAGCUUGGGAGUCAGACUACGAGAGAUAAGUCCCGUUGUCAAAAGGGAAACAGCCCAGACCGUCAGCUAAGGUCCCCAAUGCCAUACUAAGUGGAAAAGGAUGUGGGGUCUCAUAAACAACCAGGAUGUUGGCUCAGAAGCAGCCACCAUUUAAAGAGUGCGUAAUAGCUCACUGGUCGAGAGGCCCUGCGCCGAAGAUUCCCGGGGCUAAAGUAUGGAACCGAAGCUACGGAUGCGGUACUUGUACCGCGUGGUAGAGGAGCGUUCCCAUUGGGUUGAAGUCGUCCUGGAAGGGACGGUGGACUGGUGGGAAGUGAGAAUGUUGGCAUGAGUAGCGAAAAGAUAGGUGAGAAUCCUAUCCACCGAAAGCAUAAGGAUUCCUGAGCAACGAUCGUCGUCUCAGGGUAAGUCGGGACCUAAUCCGAGGCAUGGAGCGUAGGAGAUGGACAACUGGUUGAUAUUCCAGUACCGGCAGCAAUCGUUUGAACGAUGGAGUGACGCAGGAAGGCAGGUCCGCGCGAGAAUGGUAGAUCGCGUACAAGCGUGCAGGCUGGUGCACAGGCAAAUCCGUGUACUGAGGCUGAGGCGUGAUGUGGAGGGAACUUGUUCCCGAAGGGAUUGAGCCUACGCUGCCGAGAAAAGCUUCUAGUGAGAAAGCUGCCGCCCGUACCGUAAACCGACACAGGUAUGCGGGGAGAGAAUCCUAAGGUGCGCGGGAGAACCCUCGUUAAGGAACUCGGCAAAAUGUACCCGUAACUUCGGGAUAAGGGUAGCCACAGUGGUGAAGGGACUUGCUCCUGGAGCCUAGUGUGGUCGCAGAGAAGAGGCCCAAGCGACUGUUAACCAGAAACACAGGUGCCUGCGAAAGAGAAAUCUGAUGUAUAGGUGCUGACACCUGCCCAGUGCUGGAAGGUUAAAGAAGGAUGUCCGGGUUCGACCCAAAGCAUUUGACUGAAGCCCCAGUGAACGGCGGCCGUAACUAUAACGGUCCUAAGGUAGCGAAAUUCCUUGUCGGGUAAGUUCCGACCCGCACGAAAGGUGUAACGAUUUGGGCACUGUCUCAACGAGGGACCCGGUGAAAUUGAAAUACCUGUGAAGAUGCAGGUUACCCGCGACUGGACAGAAAGACCCCAUGGAGCUUUACUGUAACCUAAUAUUGGGUUCUGAUAUUCGACGCACAGGAUAGGUGGGAGGCUUGGAGCAUGGUCCUCUGGGAUCAUGGGAGCCGCCGUUGGGAUACCACCCUUCGAAUAUCGGGAUUCUAACCGCAGGAGCAACGAUCCUCGGGACAGUGUUAGGCGGGCAGUUUGACUGGGGCGGUCGCC
rnacentral:rRNA from 1 species